rnacentral:rRNA from 1 species
UGGUGGAGUGAUUUGUCUGGUUAAUUCCGAUAACGAACGAGACCUCCGCCUGCUAAAUAGUCACGUGGUGCCCUUGCGGCACCCACGUCUUUUGACUUCUUAGAGGGACUAUGGGCGGUAAGCUCAUGGAAGUUGGAGGCAAUAACA